rnacentral:lncRNA from 1 species
AUAUCUAAUCAGAUCGCAGGGGGGAGAGAUGCUGAAACGAGAGAGUGGAGAACAAGAUAAUGAAGGUCAGAUUCUCCCAUAUCACGGACUGACUGUGGCUGCUCGAUAUGCAAACAGGUAAUACCGCGAACACCUGUUCCCACAAAGCCAAUCGGAGCAGCCUACCCCUUGGAGCUCUGCCGGAGGCGUGGUUUUAGAUGCUCCACCCAUGACGACGACGAAUACGUCCCCUCGCACAUCUGUUGAACAAAGGCUGGUGGCAAGUCUCACUCACUCUAUCUGGUGGGUCUCAUGGGAUGAGAACAUGGAUUCACUGUAGGGAAGGAAGGCUUGGAUUGAAAGCUUUCAAGGAAAAGAAACAUCGCAUUCUUGUAAGUGGGAACAAGGCCUGUUUGACUCCUGUUACCUGGCUUGCAGCACUUCAAGGCAAUAACUCUUUGCCAUUUGGGAAACGGUCACUCUUUGAGUCCUUCACAGACCAGGAAAACUGCAAAAGCAAAACUAGAUCUCUGGUACCGACUUAAUGACUACGUUGUUGUUCAUUAAUGACAAAGAUUGUAAUCCCAAAA